rnacentral:rRNA from 1 species
UACGUAGGGGGCGAGCGUUGUCCGAAGUUACUGGGCGUAAAGCGCGCGUAGGCGGCUUGACAAGUCGAGUGUGAAAUCCCCGGGCUCAACCUGGGAACUGCGCUCGAAACUGUAGGUCUUGAGUGUCGGAGAGGAUGGCGGAAUUCCUGGUGUAGAGGUGAAAUUCGUAGAUAUCAGGAGGAACACCGGUGGCGAAGGCGGCCAUCUGGACGACAACUGACGCUGAGAUGCGAAAGCGUGGGGAGCAAACAGG